rnacentral:rRNA from 1 species
GCCGUAGGUGAACCUGCGGAGGGAUCAUUACUGAGUUUACGCUCUACAACCCUUUGUGAACAUACCUACAACUGUUGCUUCGGCGGGUAGGGUCUCCGCGACCCUCCCGGCCUCCCGCCUCCGGGCGGGUCGGCGCCCGCCGGAGGAUAACCAAACUCUGAUUUAACGACGUUUCUUCUGAGUGGUACAAGCAAAUAAUCAAAACUUUUAACAACGGAUCUCUUGGUUCUGGCAUCGAUGAAGAACGCAGCGAAAUGCGAUAAGUAAUGUGAAUUGCAGAAUUCAGUGAAUCAUCGAAUCUUUGAACGCACAUUGCGCCCGCCAGCAUUCUGGCGGGCAUGCCUGUUCGAGCGUCAUUUCAACCCUCAAGCUCUGCUUGGUGUUGGGGCCCUACAGCCGAUGUAGGCCCUCAAAGGUAGUGGCGGACCCUCCCGGAGCCUCCUUUGCGUAGUAACUUUACGUCUCGCACUGGGAUCCGGAGGGACUCUUGCCGUAAAACCCCCCAAUUUUCCAAAGGUUGACCUCGGAUCAGGUAGGAAUACCCGCUGAACUUAAGCAUAUCA